UAUCUCUACAGUGGGACAGUCAGUCAAGUGUUUACAUGGAAUUUACAGAGACUCCUUAUUUUUGACCUUUUCAGGUGAUGGUUUAAAAUGUCACAAUUGUCCCUCUGGUGUGAGUUUGUUUUAAACAGCAAAACAUUUUGUUUUUAAUCGACUUGUUUGAGUUUUUAUGGCGACACAUCAAGCUUCACGCGAUCCGACAGCAGCAAACUUAUCCUUCUCAUUCAACACAUUGUAAGUUAUUUAAACAAACCAUAAUAAAAAUAUUAGACUACUAUUACACGUAUUCAGUAUUGUUUUCGUCUUUUGGAAAUAUUAUUAUGCAGUAGAUAAGACAUGAGCUUAUUUAAAAAAAAAAUCAUUUAAAACAUAUCAAAAGGACAUGGAAACACAUUACAAACUAUUAUAAACAUUAACUAAAAAGCAGUUUAUGUCGUAGGCUAUAUAUUCUGUACUGUGUGGGAUUUUAAGGUUAUAUGUUUGUAAAUAGUUUACUUAGAAGUGUUUUCAAUAAUCAUUAUAGCAUGCUGAAGUAAAAGAUUGUUUGUGUUUGUCUAAGAGAGUGGAAAGUUACUGAGAGGGAGCAGUUUGGGUGUGCAAAAGCUGCAAGGCCAUGGUUUCGGUUGGAUAAGCUUGGAAUGUGUACAGCUUGUAUUGGUCAAGAUAAGAGUGAGGCCUGAGGGAGAAAAGCAAACAUACAUUCAUGUUAUUAACCAAUGUUUUAAUAUUUACAGGAUAAAAUAUGCAAUGUAUUUCUUACUUAAUCAGUAUUAAUCAUUGAAUAAUUGAUGAAAUAAAUAUAAGAUGUUGUCUUUGAUAAAUGUGUAUUAACCAAUGAAAUAAAGGUUGCAUACAGAAUAACUUAAUAGGGGCAUGGCAGCUCAACUUUGAAGAACAGAAUCUCCUGUGUGUGUGUGUGUGUGUGUGUGUGUGUGUGUGUUUUCUUUCCUAAGAGAUGGUUAUUAAUAAUGAUUAAAGUGUUUGCUUAGAAGUAGUAUUGCAGUAAAAGACUUAAUAUGUGUUUAUCUAUCUAAAGAAGUUAAUGUGUGCCUUAUUCACAUAACCAAUUUUACGAAUAAUGAAAUGAUGUUAUGAUAUUGAAAUGUGUUUUACAUAAUAAUCAUUUUCAUCUUACAACUUAUGUCUUUUUAUGAAUAAAUGAAUGUUUUAUUAAUGACCUGUUUUAAGAAAGCAUUAUAAUAUGCUAUGUGGAGUCAAUCAUAUGUGAAGUGGAAAAGUAUUGGGGGAAUAGUUACAAAUUGAAGGACUCUCAAAGUUGUGCGGAGAACAGUUUGUUUUUUCUUUGUUUGUGUGUCCAUUUUUGCCUACAGGCUAAAACUGGGUGUGGUAAGGGAGUCAGGUGAACGAGAACAACCGAUGUGGGUGGAGAAUUCUAAGAGAAAUCGACGUCAUAUAAUAUAUAAAUAAUUGUUAGAAAAGAGGCUGGGUUGCCUUCGCUACCGAGUGUGGUCUUGAGAAGGUCCGGCAUGCUGUGAAACUUUUUCAUAUCUGAUCAAUAAAUAUUUGAACUUAGAUAUAUGUAUUUUGUGCCUUUCCUCUAAAUUAUGAACAUGCAAGGACGCCUUAAAGUCCAACAAUUGGUGACCCCGACGUUUCUUUGGAGGGAAAGGAGAGAGUGAAAGGAAGGAGGGUUUCAUAUUGAAGAAACCAAAGUAAGGGAGGAAUCCAAUUCAACACAAAAAGCGCGCUCUACUAAAAAGGUAAGCAGAGCCUGUUUUAUCGAAUUCUGCUCUUUGAAUAUACCAAAUUACUUGUGUUGAAAAGGAUAUCCGAACUGAAUUUUAACACAUAGAUAUUUUAAACAUAUGAUCAGAAUGAAAAACUUUUGAAAAAGGUACCUUGGUAAUUUAUGGUUGGAGUCCAUUAGUGUAUUAGACACUAUAAAGAACCAAGAGAAAUAGUAAUUUAUGGUUGGAGGCCAUUAGUGCAUUAGGCGCUAUAAAGUACCAAAAGAAGGGUGAAAGGCCUGUUGGAUGAGAACUCCACAAAAACUGAAAAGACGUCCUAUUUUUGUAUAGUUGUGUGUUUUUCGAUUUUCUUUGAAAAGACGGGUCAGUAGUCGCGCGGGUGAAAUUCCUGAAAACUACUGGUGUAUAUAUCCUUUUGCUUUCAAACUUCGCUAAAAGACGGGUCAGUAGUCGCGCGGGUGGAAGUCCUGAAAACUACUGUUGUAUAUGCUUUUGCUUAAGAUAGGAGCGACUUGUGUGUCUUUGUAAUUUUUAGUGCUCGAAAAAUUGUCUUAAAAUGGCUGAAUUUCAAAAAGAGUGUGAUGAGUAUGGUUGCCCACCGGUCUAUGUUCAGUGGCAAAAAAUAUUGAAACUGAUGCUGGCCCAAACCGAUCCAAAAGAUAUUAAGAAAAGACAAAAGGAGGUUACAUCAGCAUGGAACACAUUGUGUGAAGAAAAUUGCUGGGUUACGGAGGAGAAAAAACGUGUUCCCCUGACUCCCAUCAUUUUUGCCAUGGAACAUAGACUGGUACACAGAAUUGAGAUUGUAAAGGCAGAAGGAAAAAGUGGUUUGGCAAAGGGCCAACUGUGACAGGCUUAGAGAAAGAGUAGAGAAUUUGGACGAGAUUAGCUAUGAUCGCUGCUGCCAUGCAGGCUAUCAAACCAAAGAAGAAAAGGGGAAGUUGGCAGUGGUGCAGCUGCAAAGCAAAAGGAAAUUGAACAAGGAAACAGUCAGCCAGACUCAAGUGUGACGCCCACAACUCCUCCCAUGGCUCCUCCUAAAGUGAAGUCGCUACACCCCUCACUGCAAACAACUCCUCCUUAUGAGGAAAAGUCUGUUUCGAUCUCAAAGCAACAGCCGGUGUUAACAGUAAACAGCGGUGAACUAGAUGUUGAAUUUGAUGAAAUAGAGGCCCUGAAAAGAAAAAUGGAAAGAUUACAACAAACAAUUAUGACACAGGGACAGAUAAUCACAACUCUAUUAAGAUUUCAGAGAAAUGUAAAUGCUAACAACAGGGGAAAGAGAUUACACAGACAGGGCCAUAAACAAAUCACAAACAGAACUUGUACAGGUAGAUACGAUUAAGAAUGGGCUUUUGAGACUGUAGCUGUACAGGCCACAGACGAAAAUAAACACAUUCCACAGCAGGUUGCCCAGCCGCCCUCCACUUCCUCCCAAUGUGCUAUAGUAUGACCAAUACUAACAAGCCUAUGGUCCACCGGACCCUUAUGCAGGCCAAACCUACACAGGCAACCCAUGGGGAGGUUAUCAGCAAUAUAGAGGGGCUCCCAGAGGACGGGGUGGUAGUAACAGAGGGGGGUAUGGUGCUUUUGGAGGGAAUGCAUGUUAUGUGUGUGGACAGGAAGGUCAUUGGGCCCGCAGGUGCCCACAACUCGGGCCACAGCCCCAAUAUUCCAGUGUACGGCAUCCACUUAACGCACCGAAUGCAAGGGGAUGGGGUCCCAAUAGAGGAGGUAGCGGGCGUGGACAUGGUGGUUUUGGCAGGGGACCACCAGGGCCACACAACUCAUCAUCACCUGAUUUAAUGGCGCCUAUGCUCCCAUCAUGGGGCCAGGGUGGUGGUGCAGAGGAAUGACGGGGCACACAGGGAACCACCAUGGGGGGAAUGGCCGAGCCCCUCAUGGACAUAGUGGUGAAUGGCACACCACUAAAACCUCUAGUGGACACUGGAGCUACAUACUCUACUGUAAUAAGCGGCACCAUACGGUCAGCAUAUUUAAGUAACAAAACAGUGAGUGUGAUGGGUUUCUCUGGUGAAAUUGAAAAGUGGCCAGUGACAAAACAGUUACCAACUCAAGUUGCUAAUCAACUUGUCUCGCAUUCAUUUCUGUACUCCUCCAACGCACCUGUUCCCCUAAUGGGCAGAGAUUUGUUAACAAAACUAGGGGCUAGCAUACUAUGUUCACCUGAUGGUAUUGUAGUUAGGUUUCCAGACGGACACACAGUUAACUGUUCAUUGAGCUCAACAGAGACAGGUAAUCAAUGGAUGUUAGUGGGGGGGAAAUAUAAGGAGUCAGUCGACAUUUAUUGGGCAGAACUGGAGGUCGACUGGGAGGAUGAAAUGUCUAGCAACAGUGUAGUGUCUCUUUAUAACACCCACAAGUCAUGGAUACAAGACAGGGCCCUAUUUUUACCCCCCAUAGACCCACUUCACUGCACCAUGUUUUAUGACAGGUUUGACACAACAAACUAUGAGGAACUUUUCAUGUCCAUUUAGGGGACUAAGUGGAGACUGGUGGAUGGUGGUAUGUGGUAUAUUUGUUGGCAAACAAGGCGUGGCUGCACCCAUAUUUUUGUCAGACGGCCAGAAAGAAUGGUAUAGGAUGUCUGACACAGCCGCACCACAUAUUUCACUAGCUUUGCACCCAAACCAUGAGGCUAGAGAGCUAGGCAUCAUGGUUAAGAUGCUUUUAACCCUUACCACUGGCAACCAUCACAUAUCUCAGGGGUAUGACACUCACAUAGUCAUGACGUUUAUUGGAUCAGGCAGCAGACAGAGGAUGUAGCCAUCCUAAAACACGAACAACUGACCAGGAGUCAUGGUAGGGAAAACACAGACGGUGAAGGGACGGGACAACUAAUUGAAAGCAUGCCACAUGACCUAUGGUCACAGGGGCCUACGGACGUAGGUUUUUGCAAUAUCACCCCGGUUUCAUUUAAGCCCUAUACAUUUCAACAGACAAAACAUAACAAAGUAUUUACCAAUAUAUAUUACUGUGUCCUACAGAAAGCUUACCAAAAUCCUGGCCAACCAAACCUGAAAUUAUGUCCAUGAGGGUGUAAACAUGGCAGAUCUAAUCACUGAGGGUGAGCCAUGUGACUGCAUACCAUUGACUGAAAAAGCAAAUAUAUUGAGAGAUGGUUUGUUCGCGGUACCACUGACAACUCCCUGACCGGUAAUCACACUGUUUACAGAUGGUUGUUGUUUCAGAGCAGCAGAUGGCACAUUGAAGGCAGGUUUUGCAGUUGUUGAACAGGUUGAAAAUGAUUUUGUAACAAGACUGAGUGGUAGGUUGAACGGUAAACAGUCAGCACAGAGAGCUGAAAUGAUAGCUGUUAUCAAAGCCUUGCACUACAUGGUGAAGAGAGGGUGACCAUUUUUAGUGAUUCUGCAUAUGUGAUUGGUGCAGUAUAUAUGGAUCUGCAUAGGUGGGUUUGAAACCAGGAAAGGCCGGCCUAUAACAAAUGCUAGCGAAGCCUGACACAUACUACAGGCUGUGAAGGUACCUAAUGAAGUGGCUGUUGUCAACGGCCUAAUAGACCACUUAUAUCCCCAACCAUGGUUUCCCAAGACAAAGUUAGAUCUGACAGACUGACAAACACGCAAUGGAAUUGACAUAUAGUUUCGGGGCUGCUUGACACCCCAAUGACAGAGCAAAGCUGAAAUAAUGAAGCUGACCUUGAUAUCAAAACUUGACUUGACAAAAUCUGUGCACAAACAAAAAUAACAUGGCUUGAUGGAUUGCCAAUUGCAUUAAUGUCUAUUUGCUUUUCUGUUAACAGGAUCACUGGUUUGACAACAUUUGAAUUGUUUACAGGUCGCCAGUUUCCGGGUCCGAGGAAUGCCCUGGUGAAGGACCCUAUCCUGCCACUAACACAUGCUGUUUCUUUUGACACACUAACUGAUCUGUUUGAACAUUUUUCAUGGCAGGCUACCAAAACACGUGAAGGGGACAGUGACCAAACCAAAAGUACAGUAUAGCUGAUUGGGUGAGAGUAACGGUGUUAAGGAGGAAGUGGGACGAGCCCACAUGGUCCAAGUCGCUAAGAGUGACUGCCAGGCCGUCGCAUUGUGUGUAGCUCCAAGGAAAAGGAGACACCUGGUUCCAUGUUUCUUCUUGUGUUCCAUGUGAUUUUCCUUCCAGGUCACUGACAGACACAGGUGUGGACCUGAGGACUCAGGUCCAAGAGAGGGAGGUUGUUGAGAGGUUGUUGAAAGUGAAAGUGAAAGUAGACUAAACCUGCUGGAGAGCAGAGAGAACAGACGGGAAGUGAACCACUAUUGGUAACACCCACACAACACCAACCACAAAGUCAACAGACAAUCUGUAAAAUUGUGCAUAAAAAAGGUGACAUUUUUUCCAGCCCAGCAACAGAACCCCUAGCACACUGUGUAAGCGCAGAUUGUGCAUACGGUGCAGGUAUAGCCGUACAGUUCAAGGCAAAGUACGGUACACAAAAGGUUGUAAGUCAAAACAAACACACAGGUGAAUGUGCAGUUACCCAUGAGGACGACGGCAGACUGAUCUUUCAUUUAAUAACCAAACAAAACUGUACUGAUUUACCAACAUAUGAGAAUUUUACUAACAGCCUCAGAUGCAUGAGAGAUUGGUGUGAGGAAAAAGGAAUAACAAGUGUGCCUACUCCCCGGCUGGGGUGUGGGUUAGAUAAAUUGAUAGAUAAAUUAGAUAAAAAGACUAAAGUGUAGGGGAGAUCGAGCUUUUUACAGUGCGGCUCCAAGGCUUUGGAACAGCUUACCUGUUAGCUUAAGACAGGCUCCAUCUCUCCUUACUUUUAAAUCUAGACUCAAAACUUUUUUAUUCUCAAAAGCCUUUGAGGAAAAUUUUAAUUAAUGUGAUUUUAUUUUAUUUUUCCUGUGUCUUUUAUCUAUUGAUGUGAUUUUAUCUUAUUUUCUCUUCUGUCUUUUAUCUAUUAUUUUAUCUAUUUGGAAAGCACAUUGGUCAACAGCUGUUGUUUUAAAUUGUGCUAUAUAAAUAAAUUGUCAUCAUUGUCAUUAAAUUGGAUUUCCAUAAGGUGGUGGAAAUCCUGACAGAAGUGUUCAGGGACCUGAACAUCACAAUUACUGUUUAGUCAUUAUAACCUGAAUAACUACAUACCAUAUUGGUAUAUGAAUUUUGACCUUUGAAUUUCUUAAGUUUCUUAUAUAGUCUUACAUUUCAAUGUUUCCUUUUUGAAUUUACGAUUGUUAUUUGAGUAUUAGCCAAUAGGCAUAAGUGUAUUUUUUCCACAGAGAUGAAGCUAUAUGGAAAUUGGAAGGUUCUGUGGGCCCUAGGGGCUAUAACUGCAAUUAUAAUUACCAUAAUAUUUGGCAUAAACAAUGGAGGUAAUCUGAAAAUUGACAAAAGGUCCAAAACAACACCACAAGAUCCGUGUUUAAAGAGAUAUGAGGGAAUUGAAUUAAAUUACACAAAAAUUGAACAAUAUCAUACACCUUGGAUUUGGCCAUACUGGUCACUUGUGGAUGUUGUUGUAUCCCCUGUCUCAGAUCCCUGUGUAACAGGCUGAUAGUGUCUGCAAUAGAAAAAAAAGAAAAUCCACCCCCAUACAGUAUGCCGCUCUUAGGCCUACAGAACCUGGAGGAUGAUGAGGAGGAACAAGUGUGACCUCUUUCAGAGGUCAAGAGAGGGAAUUGUGGGAUUUUAAGGUUAUAUGUUUGUAAAUAGUUUACUUAGAAGUGUUUUCAAUAAUCAUUAUAGCAUGCUGAAGUAAAAGAUUGUUUGUGUUUGUCUAAGAGAGUGGAAAGUUACUGAGAGGGAGCAGUUUGGGUGUGCAAAAGCUGCAAGGCCAUGGUUUCGGUUGGAUAAGCUUGGAAUGUGUACAGCUUGUAUUGGUCAAGAUAAGAGUGAGGCCUGAGGGAGAAAAGCAAACAUACAUUCAUGUUAUUAACCAAUGUUUUAAUAUUUACAGGAUAAAAUAUGCAAUGUAUUUCUUACUUAAUCAGUAUUAAUCAUUGAAUAAUUGAUGAAAUAAAUAUAAGAUGUUGUCUUUGAUAAAUGUGUAUUAACCAAUGAAAUAAAGGUUGCAUACAGAAUAACUUAAUAGGGGCAUGGCAGCUCAACUUUGAAGAACAGAAUCUCCUGUGUGUGUGUGUGUGUGUGUUUUCUUUCCUAACAGAUGGUUAUUAAUAAUGAUUAAAGUGUUUGCUUAGAAGUAGUAUUGCAGUAAAAGACUUAAUAUGUGUUUAUCUAUCUAAAGAAGUUAAUGUGUGCCUUAUUCACAUAACCAAUUUUACGAAUAAUGAAAUGAUGUUAUGAUAUUGAAAUGUGUUUUACAUAAUAAUCAUUUUCAUCUUACAACUUAUGUCUUUUUAUGAAUAAAUGAAUGUUUUAUUAAUGACCUGUUUUAAGAAAGCAUUAUAAUAUGCUAUGUGGAGUCAAUCAUAUGUGAAGUGGAAAAGUAUUGGGGGAAUAGUUACAAAUUGAAGGACUCUCAAAGUUGUGCGGAGAACAGUUUGUUUUUUCUUUGUUUGUGUGUCCAUUUUUGCCUACAGGCUAAAACUGGGUGUGGUAAGGGAGUCAGGUGAACGAGAACAACCGAUGUGGGUGGAGAAUUCUAAGAGAAAUCGACGUCAUAUAAUAUAUAAAUAAUUGUUAGAAAAGAGGCUGGGUUGCCUUCGCUACCGAGUGUGGUCUUGAGAAGGUCCGGCAUGCUGUGAAACUUUUUCAUAUCUGAUCAAUAAAUAUUUGAACUUA